rnacentral:rRNA from 1 species
GACGAACGCUGGCGGCGUGCCUAAUACAUGCAAGUAGAACGCUGAAGGAGGAGCUUGCUUCUCUGGAUGAGUUGCGAACGGGUGAGUAACGCGUAGGUAACCUGCCUGGUAGCGGGGGGUAACUAUUGGAAACGAUAGCUAAUACCGCAUAAUAGCAGUUGUUGCAUGACAACUGUUUGAAAGGUGCAAUUGCACCACUACCAGAUGGACCUGCGUUGUAUUAGCUAGUUGGUGGGGUAACGGCUCACCAAGGCGACGAUACAUAGCCGACCUGAGAGGGUGAUCGGCCACACUGGGACUGAGACACGGCCCAGACUCCUACGGGAGGCAGCAGUAGGGAAUCUUCGGCAAUGGACGGAAGUCUGGCCGAGCAACGCCGCGUGAGUGAAGAAGGUUUUCGGAUCGUAAAGCUCUGUUGUAAGAGAAGAACGAGUGUGAGAGUGGAAAGUUCACACUGUGACGGUAGCUUACCAGAAAGGGACGGCUAACUACGUG